AUUGAACGCUGGCGGCAGGCCUAACACAUGCAAGUCGAACGAGUGGCGGACGGGUGAGUAAUGUAUGGGGAACUGCCUGAUGGAGGGGGAUAAAUACUGGAAACGGUGGCUAAUACCGCAUACUAUCGGAUGUGCCCAGAUGGGAUUAGCUGGUUGGUGGGGUAAAGGCUCACCAAGGGGACGAUCCCUAGCUGGUCUGAGAGGAUGAUCAGCCACACUGGAACUGAGACACGGCCCAGACUCCUACGGGAGGCAGCAGUGGGGAAUAUUGCACAAUGGGCGCAAGCCUGAUGCAGCCAUGCCGCGUGUAUGAAGAAGGCCUUCGGGUUGUAAAGUACUUUCAGCGGGGAGGCGUUACCCGCAGAAGAAGCACCGGCUAACUCCGUGCCAGCAGCCGCGGUAAUUC
rnacentral:rRNA from 1 species